rnacentral:tRNA from 1 species
GCGCCCGUAGCUCAGUGGAUUAGAGCAACAGGUUGCGGACCUGUAGGUCGGACGUUCGAAUCGUCUCGGUCGCGACA